GGGGAUGACUGGCUUCGACGGUUGAGGCUGAGUCUGAACUGCGAGCCGAGCGGCGCCGACCUCGAAAAAUCAGCGCAAACCUUAAGUGCCAACCGCACUAACUACGCAGCUCUCCCGCUCGCCGCGUAAUACCGGCUAGCCAACGAACUGCCCAACCCUUCGGGGUUGCGUCUGCCCCGCCCUCUCCUCGGCUGGGCGGGAGCAGGCGAGACAAUGCCGAGGUGCUGUGCCAGCCGCCGUGACUGGCGCCUAAGCCAAAGCGGAUGGCAGCGAGGACCCCCUUGUCGUUUGUGGGCCUGGCUGCGACAACACAACCGACUACGCUCGUAGACGUUCAGCACUCUAAUCAGUCGGACGCGGGUUCGAUUCCCGCCAUCUCCACUC
rnacentral:tmRNA from 1 species